CGGAAGGGAUAAGUGCUGAAAGCAUCUAAGCAUGAAGCCCCCCUCAAGAUGAGAUUUCCCAUAGCGUAAGCUAGUAAGAUCCCUGAAAGAUGAUCAGGUUGAUAGGUUCGAGGUGGAAGCAUGGUGACAUGUGGAGCUGACGAAUACUAAUAGAUCGAGGACUUAACCAU
rnacentral:rRNA from 1 species